rnacentral:SRP_RNA from 1 species
GCCGGGCGAGGUGGUGGGCGCCUGUAGUCCCAGCUACUCGGGAGGCUGAGGCAGGAGAAUGGCAUGAACCUGGGAGGCGGAGCUUGCAGUGAGCUGAGAUCUGGCCACUGCACUCCAGCCUGGGAGACAGAGUGAGACUCCGUCUCAAAAAAAAAAAAAAAAAAAAAAAAAAGAGAUGGGGUCUCACUCAGUCGCCCAGGUUGGAGUGCAGUGGUGCGAUCUCAGCUCACUGCAAGCUCUGCCUCCUGGGUUCACACCAUUCUCCUGCCUC